rnacentral:lncRNA from 1 species
CUAUAUCAAGAAUUUAUUAGACACUACAAAGGAGAAGAGGCCAUACACAUUCCUUUGUCUCUUGUUCUAAGUGACAGCACCAGGGCAGUGGGAUCGGAAAGACAACAGACUUUUGUCCCCUACCUGAAUGUGUGCUGCUGCCUCUGGUCCUGGUACAGCAUGGAUUAACAGCUGAAACAGCCAAACAACCCCAAAUAACACAACGAGGGUAGAGGGGGCUGGAUGACUUAACACAGCAACACUUGACAACAUUUUUUUAAAACAACACUAUAAUUAUAAAGUUGAAGGCACAUCUUCGGCAGAAAUAUCAAUUACAUGCGCAUGAGGAAAAAAUAAACUAAACUACUGUAACGAAAUAUUGCACAAAGUUGCCCGCUCCUGUUUUGGAUUCUAACCAAAGUUUUACAAUACAUUUCUUUAAAAACACAAGGUUGAGACACCUGGUUAUGGCUACAAAAGUUAAUUAUUAACAACAUCAUUAAAGAAGCUAAUAUGAUUGAGGAAUAAGAAUUUUAGGAUUUGUGUUCUAUCUAGUUACUCACACCAGACUAAAGGACGUAAGAAAGUUAGUGUCAAAGUUGGUAAAGAUUUGGCAUGAAUCUGUAUGUUUAUAUUUGGUACAGAAAUAGGUCUUUUUAAUACAGAAAACAAAAUAACUCAAAGGAGUGAUUAUCAGGAAUGUCUAUAUGAAGAAAAGAAGAAGAAGGAGGAGGAAGAGGAGGAGGAGGAGGAGAAUUAUUAUUAUUAACCAGAUGCCUCAUACAAAGAAAAUAACAAAGUAGAAUAAAAUAAAUAUUAUGAAAAAUAAUUUUAAAACAGAAACUACACAUAAUGGAAAAAUCCUCUACUAUAUCUUUUUGAUUUUAAGCUGUGUACAGAAAAGAUAUGCACACUCACAUUUUUGGAAACAUCUUAUCUAUAGUGCUAUUUCAAUCAUUCUCUAUAUCUAGCUGAAUGAAGACAUUUUUAAAAAAUUAAAGCAUAAUAUAAAAUUAUUUGUUCAUAAGGCAUCAAAUUUAACAUACUAAAAUGUUGAUACUAAAGUAGGAAAAGCAACAUUUCUACUUCACACCUAACAACUAUACUUUUAAAACUACAAGAGUAAAUAUUUGAGUUGUAUUUUAAUCUUUAAAUUCAAAAAGCAUCUUUGGAUAUUUAAGUUCAAAGGUGGCCCCUAGCCAAAUCUGUAUUAGCACUGGACAACAAAGUGUCCAUGAUGCUUUCUGACAGGGACAAUGGUUGCUGGGUAAGUAAGGAAGUAACAAAGAACGUAUAAAGAACCUCAAAGCAGAUGUGUGUUCUUUCUCCCUCUCUGCCUCUCUCCGUCUGUCUCUCUGUGUAUGUACAUCUACACAUACACACAUGCACGCACAAAACCUGUUCUGAGCAGUGGCUCAUUACCUAAACUAGUGGCCACCUGAAAGCAAUGUGCUUGAUCCCCUCUCUAAAUGACCCUCCUCUCCUAGGAAUACAGCUGCUCUCAAACAGGUUCUCUUCUGGCAGUGAGGCCUGAAAUGCUAUUCUCACUGUCCUCUAACAUGACGUGGAGGCUAGAGGAGGACUCAACAACAUAUGCGUAACCAAAGGAGAAACUGGCUGAGGACUGAGGGACUUGUAUUCUCAAUCUGGAUCCAGAACAAGAAAAAACUAUUAUAAAUAUCCAGUUUAGCUUUCUUCUAGAAGUCAAUGAGUUUUACUAUGAUGAUCUGCUAGAAUUAAGAAACAAAUAUCCAAACUCAAACUGUUAAGACAGCAUAGGUACUGGUUUAAAAUACAGUUUAAGCAUAUAAACUUAAUCAUACUUCAUUAAAACAGGUUUGCCUUUCUAGAUUAAUAGCACCUUCAUCAAAAGUUUCACCUCUCUAAGAUAGCUAAGAUAGAAGUUAGGUCUUUCCCAAAUCUGGAAAGACCGCAGUGAAGAAUGUAAACGUUUUUGGGUGUUGGGUGUGAAAGGACUAGGAGAGAAAGGGGGUGGAGAGGACAAAACCCAUUCUCCAUUUCACUUUAUACUCCAGUAAUAUAAAAAUUAUUUUUAUAUUCAAUAUUGACUUGAAAAGGAGAAAUGAACAUUUUCAGAGCACAAAUUAUAUGUUAAGCAUUGUGCUAGUAGCUUAAAGUAUGGGAUGAAAAUGAAAGAUUAGGAGUUUAUAAGCACAAAUAUUUUGAAUGAAAGAACAACAUAUUUGAUUACAAGAUAUCAUAAACCAGGGAUAUUCUGAUUUCUCUAUAACAGUUUGGUGUAUAUCUCAAUAAAAGCAGCUCUGUGUGAUAAGAAUAUUUUAAAUUCAUUUUGAUAAGUUAUCUAAAACAUAAGAGGUAACUAAAAUUUUAUUAAAUUACAAUAUACCAGCCAAGUGAUUUUAUCCC